AUACUCUUCAUAUGAAACUCACAAAUCUAAAUGCCUAAUCCUCUGCAGAGAUCUAAGAACAUCCAUUACUGUAAAGUUUCUAAAAAUAUGCGUUGGUAAUUAUGAAACAAAGAACCUUCUCACAAAUUAAGCAUUGUGUUUUCAAUUGUUUUGCUGUAGUGUGUAAUGAUGUGUUUACAUUUUUGAAAGCUUCGAGCUGCUCUUUUGGUGUGAAAGUUUGAGUUUUGAAGUGAGAAGGUGUGGUUGUGUUUAUGUAGCUUUAGAAAAGGGUUUUGUGUUUAGACAUUGGGGAACAUGGAGGAAACGUUUGUGAAAUGUGUUUUAGCAUUUGAGAAAAACUGUAAUAGGUGUUUCGUAUGAAAUAUAUCCAAAGUCCUUCUUAUUACAGUUGUUUUCAACUGCUUAAACACCAAAUCUUUACUUGUCACACAGUUUCUGAAACCUGACACUCAAACAGCAGAACCACACACCACACUGCAAACCAAACGCUAAUUUUUGGCCUUUGAAUCAUCUACAGAGUAGCAAGGUGAAGGUUUCAUGGUCGGCGAGGUCACAAGUUCACUGAAGAGCAAGAGACAGCUAUUUGAAAUCAACUGAGAAUGAAACGGCUGUAUAAGAUCCCAUUUGAAAGGAACUGUGACAGAGUCAAGAACCAUCAACAUGACUUUGUGGAGACAAUUUUGGAGAUGGAUGCCCAUGCUAUCAUCCAUGAAUAUAUUUAUGUGGAUGAGGUGGGCUUCAAUUUCAGCAAAACCAGAAGAAGGGGGAGAAAUGACAAUUACUUUUGAUCUUGUACAGAAAUGUCCAUAGGAGCUCAUGAAAGAAGAGCUUUAGUUUUGAAUUACUGUGUGUAUAUGACAUAUCCAAAAAAUAUAUUAUUAUGGCAAAAGUAUUUGCAACGUAAGACAGAUGUUUGCUUUUGAGAUGUGUUUGUGAUCUUUUGAAUGCAGUGUGUCAUUUUAGAAGACAUGUGAGGCAUUUUGCAUUUUGUGUGUGCAAUUCUUGGAUUUAUGUGUUAAGUUAAAAAAGAGGUAAGGUUUAGAAAAUGUGUGUAUAAGCAGUUGAAAAAAAAAAAGGUGACCCAAACUUCUAGGCAGUAACCCAACCGCUGGGUCAAAACAACCCAAUUGCUGGAUUUGUCCAUAUUUUACCCAGUGCUGGGUUGUAUCUAACCCAGCAUUAUUUAGAGUACUUUUGUACUGUUGGGAUAAUUUAAAGUUUACCGUUAUUUUGUGUUAUAUUCCACUCAUGUGUAACUCAGGGAAUGUGAAUAAAAAUGAAGAUUUUCUAUGCAGUAUGUCGUUCCAUUCUG
ensembl:lncRNA